rnacentral:rRNA from 1 species
GAUGAACGCUAGCGGCGUGCCUUAUGCAUGCAAGUCGAACGGUCUUAAGCAAUUAAGAUAGUGGCGAACGGGUGAGUAACGCGUAAGUAACCUACCUCUACUGGGCCGUGUCUCAGUCCCAGUGUGGCUGAUCAUCCUCUCAGACCAGCUACCGAUCGAAGCCUUGGUAGGCCAUUACCCCACCAACUAGCUAAUCGGAC